CCCUCACUGGCAUCAUCUCAAAAUCGGCCACAACAUCUUUUAGACUCCCACACCUAGUGUAGAACAAAAUAAUUGCAUUAUUAAUACUCAAGUUGCACUCUAACCCAAUUCUAAUGGCAUGUCCAUGAACCUCUCUACCUCCCAUCACAGCAUGGCACCCAGCACAAGCAGUCAACACCGUUGAUAGAGUAAAUUGAUCAGAUUUAAAAUCAGUAGUUCGGUGCAAAUCUCGA
rnacentral:misc_RNA from 1 species